UGCAAGUCGAGCGGACAGAAGGGAACUUGCUCCCGGAUGUUAGCGGCGGACGGGUGAGUAACACGUGGGUAACCUGCCUGUAAGACUGGGAUAACUCCGGGAAACCGGAGCUAAUACCGGAUAGUUCCUUGAACCGCAUGGUUCAAGGAUGAAAGACGGUUUCGGCUGUCACUUACAGAUGGACCCGCGGCGCAUUAGCUAGUUGGUGGGGUAAUGGCUCACCAAGGCGACGAUGCGUAGCCGACCUGAGAGGGUGAUCGGCCACACUGGGACUGAGACACGGCCCAGACUCCUACGGGAGGCAGCAGUAGGGAAUCUUCCGCAAUGGACGAAAGUCUGACGGAGCAACGCCGCGUGAGUGAUGAAGGUUUUCGGAUCGUAAAGCUCUGUUGUUAGGGAAGAACAAGUGCGAGAGUAACUGCUCGCACCUUGACGGUACCUAACCAGAAAGCCACGGCUAACUACGUGCCAGCAGCCGCGGUAAUACGUAGGUGGCAAGCGUUGUCCGGAAUUAUUGGGCGUAAAGGGCUCGCAGGCGGUUUCUUAAGUCUGAUGUGAAAGCCCCCGGCUCAUCCGGGGAGGGUCAUUGGAAACUGGGAAACUUGAGUGCAGAAGAGGAGAGUGGAAUUCCACGUGUAGCGGUGAAAUGCGUAGAGAUGUGGAGGAACACCAGUGGCGAAGGCGACUCUCUGGUCUGUAACUGACGCUGAGGAGCGAAAGCGUGGGGAGCGAACAGGAUUAGAUACCCUGGUAGUCCACGCCGUAAACGAUGAGUGCUAAGUGUUAGGGGGUUUCCGCCCCUUAGUGCUGCAGCUAACCCAUUAAGCACUCCGCCUGGGGAGUACGGUCGCAAGACUGAAACUCAAAGGAAUUGACCGGGGGCCCG
rnacentral:rRNA from 1 species